UACGGGGGGGGCAAGCGUUGUUCGGAAUUACUGGGCGUAAAGGGCUCGUAGGCGGCCAACUAAGUCCGACGUGAAAUCCCCAGGCUUAACCUGGGAACUGCGUCGGAUACUGGAUGGCUUGAAUCCGGGAGAGGGAUGCGGAAUUCCAGGUGUAGCGGUGAAAUGCGUAGAUAUCUGGAGGAACACCGGUGGCGAAGGCGGCAUCCUGGACCGGUAUUGACGCUGAGGCGCGAAAGCUAGGGGAGCAAACGGG
rnacentral:rRNA from 1 species